AGUGAACGCUGGCGGUAUGCCUAACACAUGCAAGUCGAACGGCAGCACAGUAAGAGCUUGCUCUUACGGGUGGCGAGUGGCGGACGGGUGAGGAAUACAUCGGAAUCUUCUUUUUCGUGGGGGAUAACGUAGGGAAACUUACGCUAAUACCUCAUACGACCUACGGGUGAAAUCAGGGGAUCUUCGGACCUUGCGCGAUUGAAUGAGCCGAUGUCGGAUUAGCUAGUUGGCGGGGUAAAGGCCCACCAAGGCGACGAUCCGUAGCUGGUCUGAGAGGAUGAUCGGCCACACUGGAACUGAGACACGGUCCAGACUCCUACGGGAGGCAGCAGUGGGGAAUAUUGGACAAUGGGCGCAAGCCUGAUCCAGCCAUACCGCGUGGGUGAAGAAGGCCUUCGGGUUGUAAAGCCCUUUUGUUGGGAAAGAAAAGCAGCAGGUUAAUACCCCGCUGUUCUGACGGUACCCAAAGAAUAAGCACCGGCUAACUACGUG
rnacentral:rRNA from 1 species